AUUGAACGCUGGCGGCAGGCCUAACACAUGCAAGUCGAGCGAGCGGCGGACGGGUGAGUAAGGUCUGGGAAACUGCCUGAUGGAGGGGGAUAACUACGGGAAACGGUAGCUAAUACCGCAUACUACCAGUUGUGCCCAGAUGGGAUUAGCAUGAUGGUGGGGUAAAGGCUCACCUAGGCGACGCUCCCUAGCGGUUCUGGGAGGAUGAGCAGCAUCACCGGAAUUGGGACCCGGACCCGACUCCAACGGGAGCAGGAAGUGGGGAAUAGUGCACAAUGGGCGCAGGCCUGAUGCAGCCAUGCCCCGGGUGGGAAGAAGGCCUUCGGGUUGUAAAGCACUUUCAGCGGGGAGGCGUUACCCGCAGAAGAAGCACCGGCUAACUCCGUGCCAGCAGCCGCGGUAAUUC
rnacentral:rRNA from 1 species